AGGGCCCAGUGGCCUCAGAGAAGCAGGUUGAAUAGCACACAGAGAGAAAGGGCCACUGUGAUCCUGGAUCAUUGCUAGGUGCUGGUAUUAUGGGUAAACAGUACAGGGAGAG